rnacentral:rRNA from 1 species
UACGUAGGGUGCGAGCGUUUAAUCGGAAUUACUGGGCGUAAAGCGUGCGCAGGCGGCGGCUCAAGUCAGGUGUGAAAUCCCCGGGCUUAACCUGGGAAUUGCGCUUGAAACUAGGCUGCUUGAGUGUGGCAGAGGGGGGUGGAAUUCCACGUGUAGCAGUGAAAUGCGUAGAGAUGUGGAGGAACACCGAUGGCGAAGGCAGCCCCCUGGGUCAACACUGACGCUCAUGCACGAAAGCGUGGGGAGCAAACAGG